rnacentral:rRNA from 1 species
UACAGAGGUGGCAAGCGUUGUUCGGAAUUACUGGGCGUAAAGGGCGCGUAGGCGGCCAUCUAAGUCAGACGUGAAAUCCCCCGGCUUAACCUGGGAACUGCGACUGAUACUGGACGGCUUGAGUUUGGGAGAGGGAUGCAGAAUUCCAGGUGUAGCGGUGAAAUGCGUAGAUAUCUGGAGGAAUACCGGUGGCGAAGGCGGCAUCCUGGACCGGUAUUGACGCUGAGGCGCGAAAGCCAGGGGAGCAAACGGG